AACACGGCGCUUCCAACGCGACCCCAGGUCAGGCGGGGCUACCCGCUGAGUUUAAGCAUAUC
rnacentral:rRNA from 1 species